rnacentral:lncRNA from 15 species
CAGCAUGACCCGACUUCUUCCUUUGCUCCUGAUGGACAACACUCAUACUUCCUGCAGCCACUAGAGGGCGCUGUCAGUUGAAAGUAAACAGAUGUUGAUCUUGGGGCAUUUUGCUGAGACAACUGUUGCCAUCUUUUUCUUGUGAGGACAGUCUCAGCCUUCAUGCUCAGCCUCCAAAAAGAAAUGACACACAAAAAUAUGAAAAGAAAGAAUAAAUAAAGUCAGUGCUUAGAAACGGAGAGUCGGGUAACAGAGUCGAGUCUGUGAACAUCCACGUUUACAUUCUCCACUUUUUAAUUUUCCGUCCUUCGCUGGAGGACAGGGGGCCUUGGUUUUGAUUCUAAAACUCUUUGCCAGUUUAAUUUAUGAUGCCACAAGGAGCGCCAGCUUAGUGUCAUAAAUUUAGUUUAGACUAAGCUCUAGGAAUAAUUAGCAGCCAGAACGCUUGGGUUCAAAUUUGGAGAUUUUGGCAGUCGAGGAGGGUCUCUGGUGGUUUGUAACAAGAGCCGGUGUUCUGGUACAGUGUUUCUCUUUCCCUCUCUGUCUCUCUUAACUUUCCUUCUUUUUUCUCCCGAUCGGUCUCUCACUGCGCAGCUCAAUACGAGGGCAUGAUGGAUGAUCGGAAGUGAUUGGAUAAUAUGAGGCUGUCAUGGAUCACACAUAAAACCAACCUGAUCCAGUCGAUUCGAUUAAACAGCUAAAAGAUAGUCAGAAGGGACCAUAUUAGGAUGAGAGCAUGGACAGUCAACCUUGGUCGGUCAUUCAAUGGAUGGAGAGAAAUGCAGCAUUUAAAGGGAUUUAAAACCAGUCUUGAACUUGCUCUCUUCCCUCUAGGUAGCAUAUCCACAUCCCAACCAGAGGAACAAAUAUCCAGAGCUAAAACAAAAUACUGCCUUUUGGUCAGAUGA